UACGUAGGGCGCAAGCGUUGUCCGGAAUUAUUGGGCGUAAAGAGCUCGUAGGCGGUUUGUCGCGUCGGCCGUGAAAUCUCCACGCUUAACGUGGAGCGUGCGGUCGAUACGGGCAGACUUGAGUUCGGUAGGGGGAGACUGGAAUUCCUGGUGUAGCGGUGAAAUGCGCAGAUAUCAGGAGGAACACCGGUGGCGAAGGCGGGUCUCUGGGCCGAUACUGACGCUGAGGAGCGAAAGCGUGGGGAGCGAACAGG
rnacentral:rRNA from 1 species